rnacentral:rRNA from 1 species
GUGGGGAAUAUUGCACAAUGGGCGCAAGCCUGAUGCAGCAACGCCGCGUGAGGGACGACGGCCUUCGGGUUGUAAACCUCUUUUAGCAGGGAAGAAGCGAAAGUGACGGUACCUGCAGAAAAAGCACCGGCUAACUACGUGCCAGCAGCCGCGGUAAUACGUAGGGUGCAAGCGUUGUCCGGAAUUAUUGGGCGUAAAGAGCUCGUAGGCGGUUUGUCGCGUCUGCUGUGAAAACCCGAGGCUCACCCUCGGGCCUGCAGUGGGUACGGGCAGACUAGAGUGCGGUAGGGGAGAUUGGAAUUCCUGGUGUAGCGGUGGAAUGCGCAGAUAUCAGGAGGAACACCGAUGGCGAAGGCAGAUCUCUGGGCCGUAACUGACGCUGAGGAGCGAAAGCGUGGGGAGCGAACAGGAUUAGAUACCCCUGUAGUCC